rnacentral:tRNA from 1 species
GAGGAUAUAGCUCAGUGGUAGAGUACAUAGUGUGCGCGGGGUCCUGGGUUCAAUCCCCAGUACCUCCA